rnacentral:rRNA from 1 species
GGCUCAGGAUGAACGCUAGCUACAGGCUUAACACAUGCAAGGUCGAGGGGAACGAUAUUGGAAGCUUGCUUCCGAUAGGCGUCGACCGGCGCACGGGUGAGUAACGCGUAUCCAACCUGCCCAUCACUUGGGGAUAACCUUGCGAAAGUAAGACUAAUACCCAAUGACGUCUCUAGAAGACAUCUGAAGGAGAUUAAAGAUUUAUCGGUGAUGGAUGGGGAUGCGUCUGAUUAGCUUGUUGGCGGGGUAACGGCCCACCAAGGCGACGAUCAGUAGGGGUUCUGAGAGGAAGGUCCCCCACAUUGGAACUGAGACACGGUCCAAACUCCUACGGGAGGCAGCAGUGAGGAAUAUUGGUCAAUGGGCGAGAGCCUGAACCAGCCAAGUAGCGUGCAGGAUGACGGCCCUAUGGGUUGUAAACUGCUUUUAUAAGGGAAUAAAGUGGGAGUCGUGACUCUUUUUGCAUGUACCUUAUGAAUAAGGACCGGCUAAUUCCGUG